UUUACAUAUUAUUUCCUCCAAUGAGAGCACCUCCAACGGCCGACAAACCUCAAACAAAGAAGGACAAAAUGGAUCCUGUUGGAGCAGUGCACACCGAAAAGAAGACAGAGAAGCAAGCUUCGUCCCUGAAACCAACCGAAUCCUCCAAAACCUCCAAGCCCGAUGGUCUGACAGUUACCUCCAUUAAAGAAGUCAAGUCAUUUUGUGACAAGACAGAAGUGACUGUCAAUGGAAAAGUUAC